rnacentral:rRNA from 1 species
ACUCCUACGGGAGGCAGCAGUGGGGAAUAUUGGACAAUGGGGGCAACCCUGAUCCAGCCAUGCCGCGUGUGUGAAGAAGGCCCUACGGGUUGUAAAGCACUUUUCAGCCGAGGAAGAACGACCUGGUGGUUNAUAGCCCGACCAGGAAAGAACUNCAUCCCGCAGAAGAAGCCCCGUA